rnacentral:rRNA from 1 species
UGGGGAAUAUUGGGCAAUGGGCGCAAGCCUGACCCAGCCAUGCCGCGUGAGUGAUGAAGGCCUUCGGGUCGUAAAGCUCUGUGGGGAGGGAAGAAACCGGACAUGGAUAACACCCAUGGCUCUUGACGGUACCUCCUUAGCAAGCACCGGCUAACUCCGUGCCAGCAGCCGCGGUAAUACGGAGGGUGCAAACGUUGCUCGGAAUCAUUGGGCGUAAAGCGCACGUAGGCGGCCUGUUAAGUCGGGUGUGAAAGCCCUGGGCUCAACCCAGGAAGUGCACUCGAAACUGACAGGCUUGAAUAUGGAAGAGGGUCGCGGAAUUCCCGGUGUAGAGGUGAAAUUCGUAGAUAUCGGGAGGAACACCAGUGGCGAAGGCGGCGACCUGGGCCAAUAUUGACGCUGAGGUGCGAAAGCGUGGGGAGCAAACAGGAUUAGAUACCCCCGUAGUCC